AGGAGCAGGUGGGAGGGAGGGAGAGCCCCGCCCCCGCCUUCCCACGGCGCCGCCCGGCACCUCCCCGCCGCCGGCCGCGGCCAGAGCGCAGAGCCGCGGAGGAGCAGCGCCCCGCGGGUCUCUCGAUCGCGGCCGCUGCGGCAGCGCCGGCAGGAUUUAGAGUUCAGCUGGAAUCUUUCAUAACGGAGUGAAGCUAGAAACUUGACAGAUGCCUGUGCCGCCACCGCCUCCUCCCCCUCCGCCACCACCUCUCCCAGCUUCUGGAGGACCACCCCCAGCACCUCCACCAUUGCUAUCUUCAUUACCUCUGGCAAGUACAGAGCCCCCAAAGUUCAGAAAGGAAGAUCAAAAAGGUCGAAGUGCAUUGCUAUCAGAUAUUCAGCAAGGGGCUCGCUUAAGGAAAGUUACCCAAAUCAAUGACCGAAGUGCUCCACAGAUUGAAAACCCCAGAGGACCUAACAGAGAUGGAGGUGGCCCAGCAACCAGCAAAAGUGGUGCUCAACCAUCGUUGGGGGGCUUGUUCGCAGGUGGCUUUCCCAUGCUGAAACCGGUUGGCCAAAGAGACAUGACAGCUGGCAAGGCUGGGCAGCUGCCUGGAGUACGAGUGCCUCCUCCAAAGUCUCCAGCCCCAUUGAAUGGCAAUGCCAAAGCAAGCAGUCAUGUUUCAAGUCUGCCUGAUUGUCCAAGAGCAGCACACCCAUUGGAGCUCCCCAGUGGGCCGCGAGCAGGACCAGCUCGGCCCUGCAUGCCUGCCCCUCCCCCACCUCCACCAGUUUCCAGCAAACCUUCCCUUGUUUUCCCACCUCCUCCACCUCUUCCCUCUCCUCUGGAAAAACCUGCAAAAGUGUCACCCCCGAAUUUGGUGGCUCCACCACCUCCUCCUCCACCACCACCACCUCCUCCUCCUCCUCCUCCUCAGAGUGACAAGCCUGCCAAGGUUCAAGCAACAGCUUUGUACAUGCCGCCUCCUCCCCUGCCCCUGGCACCACCUUGUGGAUUGACAGUCAGAACUACUGACUUUCCUAGUACUUCUCCCCUGCACCCUGAUUUGAGGGAUUAUCCACCUCCAACUCCUCCCCCGCCUCCACCACCACUGCCUCCUACUUCUUCACCCAGGGGAUCCUUGCCAUUGCCACCCUCCCCUACCUUUAACAGCGCUGUGAACAGCCAAGACAUUCCACCCGCACUGCCCCCCAAAUCUCCACACUUGCUCUUCCAAAAACCUGGUAUUCAGUCCAUGCCUCUUCCUCCUGCCCCACCCUUCUCUCAGCCAGCUUCAGCAGUGCAGAAAAAGAGACAAGGCAGAGGUGCAGUAAGCAACACUGGGAAGUUAAUUCCGCCUCCGCUGCCUCCAGCAAGAUCACCAUCAACUGAGCUUACGAGCAAGUGUCCAUAUACCCAAGUUUCAUCGUGGCCAGCUGCACAUGAGCCCUAUCCACAGCACAGAAAUGGAAACAUGCACAUCAUUGAUGACUUUGAGUCUAAGUUUACUUUCCAUUCUGUGGAAGAAUUCCCCCCUCCUGAUGAAUUCAAGCCAUUUCAGAGAAUUUAUCCCAGCAAGGAAUCUAGAGAUACCCCUAAAAAUCCUCCACUAAGAACACAUGUGAGAUGAGAAGAUCCCUCUAACGGACCUCUGGUGCAGUACUACACAGGAGGAGUGAAGAUAACAAGAUAAUGAGUCCAGGAGUAUGGGGGUGCCUGAAAUCAUUCCAGAAGUUCUGCACUCUGGCAGGCACCUCCUCAUUAAUCCUCCUCUUUCCAGGGGAGCUGAACAGAACUGAUUCUGCAAGCAGUAGCCAGGAGGGGGAGCAGCAGGCCGCAGAUCGGAGGAGGAGGGAGGUAGGAAACUCUCCCCGGUUGGUUAGAAAAGGAUCAAGAUUCUGGCUUCCACUUCUCAGUACAGAGAACCUGGGCCCCUCCCUAGGUUAGCAGAGGUGGUAGUGAUCUCCAAGGGAGGAAACUCAAAUGUGGAGCCAGAGCAGGGUAGGUUUUAGGAGAAUGGCUAGAUUUGAUGGUGGGGGCUGGGGAAGACUGAUGGAGUUAUGACUAUUCAAAUAUGCAUAUGAAAUUAAAGCCUUAUUUGCAUAAACUCUGCAGCAUCCCAACUUGCAAAUAUAGCAGGUAUGUUAAAUCCAGUUUAGGGCUAUAGUUCUGCCCUUUUGCUGUCUAUCUCUGGAUAGUGCCUUUCUCUGCAAAGUUAGCUAGUAGCCUUGUCACCACCACGUAAAUACUAAGGAAGGCAGAAGUGGUCAUGCCCUUGCAACUAGCUGGACUUUAAGGACAUCAGGUAAAUAAGAUCCUAGCAACUCAGCUGUGGACAGUUGGGGGUGGGGAAGUUGUUCACAUGGCGCCUGACUGGUCAACAAAAAGAAGGUAACUGUGUGGAAUCAUUCACGGAUGGAUAAGUGGGCUGCAGUUACCUACAUAUGCUUAAUAUACUACCCCUGUGAAGGGCUUGGGACCAGAUUCAUCAGUGAACUCUGGCAGUUUGAGAGCUAUUUUGCAUUGGUGGAGCCGCAGACCACAGCAGUGAAUCUGGCCCUGAGUCUGAUUGGACAGAGGAGGUACAGAGGGAGGUUCUGAAGCCACUGAAUUAUCUCCUGGAAGAACAGCUUUGCCAGCUGUAGAAUGCAGCAGCACCAUAGGGCUUCUGAAACGUAACCCCCUCCUGGCUUUUUUUCUUGCCUGUACUGAUCCCUUAAUAAAUAGUUUGCCUGUGUGUGUGACAUAUUGAAAAAUAAAUGCUGUCACCAGUAUUGUAAUUACAAUAGUUAACUGUGUUUGAGCAUAUAAAAUGUAAUAAAAGUCAAAUUUAGGUAGGCGUCAACAUGGGCAUUGCAACUUUUCUUACAGAAGGUCUAAUACGAGGCUAUUCAGGAAUAGUAUUCUGCUACAGUAUUAUAGUCAUUGUGCAUUAAAAGCAAACGUGGAGUAUGACUUCUUGCCUAUUCUCAUCUGUACUGGAACCUGUAAUACUGUGUAACAAAUAUUUUAUAAAGAUUUAAAAAAAUAUAUUUAAUAAAGUGUCUCUUGGUA